AGUGAACGCUGGCGGUAUGCCUAACACAUGCAAGUCGAACGGCAGCACAGUAAGAGCUUGCUCUUACGGGUGGCGAGUGGCGGACGGGUGAGGAAUACAUCGGAAUCUACUUUUUCGUGGGGGAUAACGUAGGGAAACUUACGCUAAUACCGCAUACGACCUACGGGUGAAAGCAGGGGAUCUUCGGACCUUGCGCGAUUGAAUGAGCCGAUGUCGGAUUAGCUAGUUGGCGGGGUAAAGGCCCACCAAGGCGACGAUCCGUAGCUGGUCUGAGAGGAUGAUCAGCCACACUGGAACUGAGACACGGUCCAGACUCCUACGGGAGGCAGCAGUGGGGAAUAUUGGACAAUGGGCGCAAGCCUGAUCCAGCCAUACCGCGUGGGUGAAGAAGGCCUUCGGGUUGUAAAGCCCUUUUGUUGGGAAAGAAAAGCAGCAGGUUAAUACCCCGCUGUUCUGACGGUACCGAAAGAAUAAGCACCGGCUAACUUCGUG
rnacentral:rRNA from 1 species